GUGAAAACAAGGCUAGGACCAUCACUGGGCGCUUGUCUGUGAUGAUUAUAGCUUGGCAGGAUCGUAGGAUGAAAGAAUACAAAUAACCAUCUAAUUGUUCGGGCCCGAUCGACAGGCACAAAAGAAACAAUUAUCUCGGCGUGCGGCUCCAUCUUGAUAGGUGUAUACGUAAAUCAGUACAGCCCCAUUGUAUAUACGUCUGAACGAAAACACUCCAACAUAUUUCUGCGUGCAAUGAAAAUGAAUUUGAGUGUUUUCGUUCACAUUUUGCAUGUAGAAUGGGGCUGUUAAGCACUUUGUCGCGAUUGAGAUGCGUGGACUUCGAUAUAUACGUCACAUCUAAAUCGACGAGGGCAUGGACGAACUGAAGGAACCAGAAUAAAAUAAAAACAAAUCAGACGUAAUUCUGACCAAGCAACGCAAUUACUGUACGAUGCAAAAACAAAUGUUAUCUGCCAAAGUUCAAAGUGUGAACAAGGCAUUGGACUUACUUAGAUCCAGGCAGGAGAGUCAAGCUGCGAAGAAGCACAGAAAGAUUUUAAACAGCAUAGAUGACAGAACUAAGUUUCAUUGUUGUAGUAGUAAAAUGCACAACAGACGCAAUCGUAAGACAAAGAAAGUGGCUUCGUCAGGAUUUUCUCAUGCCUUAAUAGCCACUGAAAUGAGAAAAUGCCUAAUGAGACAUGACUGGGCUCAUAUAACCGAACUCUUACCACUCUUGUUAAGAGGGCAUUCAGAAACAGAGCCACUCAUGUGGAGGUAUCUAAUUAUACAAAUAUUGUACGGUACCAAAGGUAAUUUGGCAAUGCUUAAUCAUUUCCUCGAAAUGUCUGUGCGUACUCAAAGUUCAGAUUUUCUAAAUGUGGUAUUAGCACUUCCCGCUCAAAUAAAAGAAACUGACUCCAUGUCAAUUGAGUUUGACAGUUAAUGCUAUAAACUUGAAUCAUUUCGAACAAUUAGGUAUUACAAGAAUAUGAGAAUAACAUAACAUGCCACAUAAGUGUUUUCCGGUAUCUGAAUUAGAAGUAAUUGUUUGUGGAAAAUAACGCUUUACCACGUCAAAAAAUUACGGAAUUAUCGCAAAUAAAUGAAUGCCUCAUAUUUUGACAUGUGUUGUUGAUGAAAAUGGGAAAUUCGCUAAUUAUUCGAUUACACAUUAUAUACUUGUAUAUUACUUAUUUUCGUACAUUUUUUUAUGAUAAACAUAAUAAAAGUUAAUAUUAAUACAAAGAUACUAUUUACAACGACUCUCAAUAGAUCAUCGACGUUUCCAAUAAUAUAAACUAUGUAAGUGAUGCGCACAACAAUAGGGCAUUAUGUACACGUGUUGUAGCAAUAAAAAUAUAAAAACAACCACAAGGUAACAUAUAAAAUACAGUUAAAGACUGUCCGAAAAACGUUCGGACUGCCUUUCAUUGAUUACCUACGUGAAAUCAAUUUGUACAUACAAAGAGUACCUACAAAAUGCGUUUGUAUUGACGAAUUCAAAUUCAGGUACAAGCUAUGGCAAUUUUACAGAAUAACUAUAUUGAACAGCAACUGAAUGAUGUUCGAAAAAUUCGUUCUUCAUCGUGCAAGUUUAUUAUUGACUUCCAAGUAGCUGUGAAAACUCAGGGUGGUCACACAAUUUGAAUUUGGAAAUUCUGUUUCCCUGACCGAAAUUACGCUUUUCCUCUGACUUCUUGCUUGGGUUUAUCGCAUUUGGAAACACUUUUCCUGUAUUUUCGAAAAUGUUUGAAGUAAAUAUUUACUUCAUUAAUAGAACGUCAAAGUUUUGGUCUGCAGCAUACAUGUUGUAUGUGUAUCAUCAUUCUGAUCUAUACAGAUAAAUGAUAAUAAUUGAGCAAGUGCAGGAAUUCAAAAGAUAAACCAAAAACUCGAGCGCAUAUAGCAGACAAGAAAAUUGACAAUCUUCCAAUUUAAAUCAUCAAUAAUAUUUGAAAAAACAAAAUCCUCUAAUAUAUCCCAUUUUUCCAGGUUUUCCAGAUGAGUGGCCACCCUGAAAUUGAUUACGCACAGCAGACCCAGUGACAUUUGAAGAAACAGGUCAUUCUCAGCAGACAUCUAUCUCACAACUAGUUUCAUUCAUACUGUUUUCUUAGCUGGAACCAAGGUACAGCUCUGGUUGGAAACCUUAAGCUUGUCUUUCGCAACUACGUACAGUUAAAAAAUUCUUCCAUAACGUUGCAGCAGCUUGUAACUGAUUUAUAGACAUGAUUUAUACAUUAUUACAUCACAAACUUAAGAUUCUAAUUGAUGCUAUUUCUGAGUAGCUGUACUGAUAGUUUUAACUGCGGUUCAAUGAUGUAAUGUGAAAUAAAAUUCAUGAGAUAGUACUAGAAGACUUACAAGCAUCGCCUUAAUAUGUGGACAGACGAUAUUUUCUAUACUCUCAGAGGUAAUGACACAAAGUUUCA